rnacentral:tRNA from 1 species
GCGCCCUUAGCUCAGCUGGAUAGAGCAACGGCCUUCUAAGCCGUCGGUCGGAGGUUCGAAUCCUCUAGGGUGCG